UUGUUCACCGUUCAUGGUUUACUGCUGCUUAUGCAUUGCACUUUCAUAUUUGGUAAAAGAUUUAAAAAUGUAAUAAUACAUGCAAAAUUUAUAUCACUAUACGCCCUGGAAUUACAGCUUUAUCUGUGAUAUAAUUGGGAAUAAUUUUUUUCCAGCCUUUGCCAAACGAAUUUUUACUUCAGCAGUUCAACCUACUGGUACAGUGUCACAGUGGAUUCGCUUUCUAAGUUUUGAAGGACUGUUGUGGAGAGAUUGUCCAUGAAAAGGAAUUCAGUUAAUUUUCGAUGCUAAUGAAGCAACUGAUCCAUUUGACGUAAGGGAGAGAACUGGAAAUUAAUUUGGAAACCACCCAAACAGAUUGUCUGCAGUGGUACUCUCCUAGAUUUGGAUUGCACAUUUCACAUUUGAACGCUACUUCUUCACUUAAGAUUAUCCAAGAAAAGAGAGAGACUUAAAGUCAGCUUGGUCAUACUGAAACCAGCAAUGUCUAGAUGGGUUUCAUCUUUCCUGGAGUAUAUACUUGAUUUGCUGCUUUGUCUUCACCUUGAACCAUUAUGCAGUCAAUUUUCAACCUACGAAUGAGAGCAACUGGAGGUUUCUUUGACUUCUUUUGAAACAACAAAUUUUCUGCUAUGGUAUUCCUCCUGGAUUUGGUUUGCUUUUCACACAUGCAAACUUUGGAAUG